AUUGAACGCUGGCGGCAGGCCUACCACAUGCAAGUCGAGCGGAGCGGCGGACGGGUGAGUAAAGCCUAGGAAUCUGCCUGGUAGGGGGGGAUAACGUCCGGAAACGGGAGCUAAUACCGCAUACUAUCAGAUGAGCCUAGGUCGGAUUAGUUAGUUAGUGGGGUAAAGGCCUACCAAGGCGCCGAUCCGAAACUGGGCUGAGAGGAUGAUCAGUCAGACUGGACCGAAGAGACGGUCCAGACGCCUACGGUAGGCAGCAGUGGGGAAUAGUGGACAAUGGGCGAAAGCCUGAGGCAGCCAUGCAGCGUGUGUGAAGAAGGUCUUCGGAUGGUAAAGCACUUUAAGUUGGGAGGCGUUACCAACAGAAUAAGCACCUGCUAACUUCGUGGCAGCCGCCGCGGUAAUAC
rnacentral:rRNA from 1 species